AUAAGGUCUAAGGUUGGUGGUAAUUUUCUUACUACUAUUCAAGAAUUGUUCUUGGAUUCUAGUAGUCUUAAAGACUUGAGAAAGUGUAGAGGGCUUCAUCAUUCUAACCACAGGCAUAAUGUCAUCCCUUAGUCCCCCAAUAAACACAGACAGAAAAUAUGCUCCUCCCAAAUUAGGCAUAGCUCUUUCUAGCCUAGUUCUGAUAUCUUUAAACUUAUCUUGAUACUCCUCAAUUGUCCCAUCUUAUCUCAUUAUCAUAAAUUCCUCAAUCACAUCUUCUAGUCCAUCCUCCCCAAGUGAACACAAUUCCCUCUCAAAAUCCUCUCAAGAAUGGGAUCCAACUCCUUUAACCCAAUUAUCCAUUAGAAACAAACUAGCAA
rnacentral:misc_RNA from 1 species